UGACAUCAUUUAAUUCCUGCCAACAGCUGUACUCCUUCAAACCAAGACUGGCCAACCUGCAGGCAAGCUACAGACCUGAGUUAAGCAGACUUAACUGGAGAAUAAUGAUUAUUUAACAUAAAGGAAAAAGAACUUUAGGAUAUUUGAGAAGAAAUACAUGCAAGCAGGAAGGGUGGUGCUGAGGAGUGGAAUCACAGAAGAGGGAUCAGCACCGAAUAGCAGAGCAAGGGUUGUGGGGUCUUGAUGUUACUGGCAGGCAUAAGCUUCUUCUCUGCAGACUGAGUGGACAAUAGAAAAGGAGAGAUUGUACAGAUUGUGUAACCAUAGUACUCACACAAGCAAG